CCAAGCUCCUUCCUAAUGGACCAAAUUACACUAGUCCAGAUUUUCCGCGGGUAUCCCUCAGCCUAAACCCUCCUUGUACGUCGGUUCUUCUUCUUCUUCUCUCUCUUGAUCACUCCCCACAACUUCACUCUUCACUUCCACUGCGAUCGAUGAUGCUCUCCAACUCCAAUUCAAUCGAUUCCUCUAAAUCCGCUAAUUCACGGAGGGAGCAGGCCUCCGGUGAUUUGGAAUUCUUAACUGUUAAGAUAAAUCAGCUGAAGAAGCAGAUUCAAGCAGAAAGGGUUCUCUUGAUUAAAGAUAAAGUUGCAAAGAACUGUGAGAAGCUAGAAAAAGAUGUCUCUCAUCUUCUGUCAUUAUCAGCGCAUAGAGCUAACGAUUCAUCUACUGAAAACAGUGGCACGGGUGAAAUGCUGUCUUCCAGGAUUAAAAACCCCCUCUGCAUCCUUACUGGGCCAGGCCAAAUAUCAGGCGAUGAUAGCAGCAGUCAAGAAGCAGCUAUUUCAAUAAGUGCGAAACUUCCGGUUGCUGAUAGAAUACCACCUUAUACUACCUGGAUCUUUUUGGCCAGAAACCAGAGAAUGGCUGAUGAUCAAUCAAUUGUUGGGAGGCGACGUAUAUAUUAUGAUCAAAAUGGAAGUGAAGCUCUGAUUUGUAGUGACAGUGAGGAAGAGCUUACUGAACCAGAGGAAGAGAAACAUGAAUUUUCCGAGACAGAAAAACGCAUCAUACGGAUGGUUUCUCGGGAUUAUGAGCCAAGUGACGAAGUAAUUAAAAUCUUGACACAAUAUGUUGGGGGGAAUACUUCAGAAAUCUAUGAGGCAUAUAUCAUGUUGAAAACAGAAGAUGAAGAAAACAUAAACCAAAAUGUGUCUGCUUCUGCAGACCAUCAUCAUGAUUGGAGCAUACCUCUGGACAAAAGUCUUAGUGCUUCAUUAGAUUCCCUUGAUAAUCUUUUUUGUCGGCGGUGUUUGGUAUUUGAUUGCCGUCUUCAUGGUUACUCUCAAACCGUUAUUACUCCUACCGAAAGACAACACUACCCUCUUGAUUCUCAAGAGACGGUGAAACCUUGCAGUGAUCAUUGUUACCUUCAGCUUCAAACUGUGAAGAAGCAUUCAGAUCAUCUAGAUGUCUUAAGUGAGACACACACUACACCUUCAGAUGAAAACCUGCACGAUAUCCGGAUUGGUGAUGAUCCAGGAAAGCGGAAGCUAUCCAAACAAACAACCACGGUAUUAGAAGAACCAAAACAUGUUAUUGAUGACCAACAAGGGUCUUCCUUGAAAAAACAGAAAACAGGGUCAGUACCCGAUACAAUAUCUAUGACGAUUGAAGAUACUCAAGUUGCAGAUGACAACUUAAAUGACAAAAAAUUGGAUCUCCAAAUGACCACCAAUGAUGAAGCGACCAGUUCUUCUCAGUGUGUUUCAAAAGAAGUGAUUAAGGAUACGGGUACAGGAGUAAAUAUGUUAAAGCAGGAAUCAACUCCAGUAGGGACAAAAUGGGAACUACUCGAGAAAGAACUAUAUGUUAAGGGAUUAGAGAUUUUUGGGAAGAACAGCUGUCUCAUAGCAAGAAACUUACUUUCUGGCUUGAAAACUUGCACGGAAGUAGCCAAUUAUAUGUGUGAUAAUGGAGCAGCAACAUCACAGAGAUCGUUUACUGCAUGCUCUAUGCCAGAUGGAAACGACAGAGCUGAUGCAGAUCCUAAGGAGCAAGACACUGCAUCAAGGUCACGAAUGCUUCGAAGAAAGGGUAGAGCAAAAAAACUUAAAUAUUCAUGGAAGUCUGCGGGUCAUCCCUCAAUGUGGAGACGAAUUGCUGAUGAGAAAAACCAAUCUUGCAAACAGUAUAUUCCAUGUAGAUGCGAAUCUAUGUGUGGAAAAGAAUGCCCCUGUUUGGAUAAUGCUACUUGCUGUGAGAAAUACUGUGGGUGCUCAAAAAGCUGCAAGAACAGGUUUAGGGGAUGUCACUGCGCAAAGAGCCAAUGCAGAAGCCGACAAUGCCCGUGUUUUGCUGCUGGACGUGAAUGUGAUCCCGAUGUUUGCAGGAAUUGCUGGGUGAGUUGUGGUGAUGGUUCAUCAGGAGAGCCCCCAAGAAGAGGUGAAGGCCAAUGCGGUAACAUGAGGCUCCUUCUGAGGCAGCAGCAAAGGGUGAGCAGUAUCAACUAUCAACAACUAUUCUUCUGGCUAAAUCUAAUGUUGCUGGUUGGGGAGCCUUUCUCAAGAACUCUGUCAACAAAAAUGAUUAUCUUGGAGAGUACACCGGUGAACUGAUCUCGCAUCGAGAGGCAGAUAAGCGAGGGAAAAUAUACGAUCGUGCCAACUCAUCUUUUCUUUUUGAUUUGAAUGAUCAGUAUGUGCUUGAUGCUUACCGCAAAGGAGAUAAACUGAAAUUCGCCAACCACUCAUCACAUCCCAACUGUUACGCUAAGGUAAUGAUGGUGGCUGGCGAUCACCGGGUUGGCAUUUUUGCCAAAGAGCGAAUCGAGGCCGGUGAAGAACUCUUCUAUGAUUACCGUUAUGGUCCUGAUCAGGCACCUGUAUGGGCCCGGAAGCCUGAUGGGUCUAACCGAGAUGACCUUUUAGUUCCUCAAGGUCGAGCCAAGAAGCACUAAGCCACAAACCAUGCUCAUGAGGUAAGAACCGAAUCGGCUAUGUUAUUUCAGGUUUGGCAUAAGAGUGCAUGUGCUAUAUAUGCGUGUGCAGAUAAGGAAGGACGAUAAGUUAUAUACAGAAUAUAUAAUAUAGUUAUAAUAACGUGGUGCAUUCCUGGCCUCUCUUUAGUAUAUAGUUACCAGAAAUAAGAGAUUUGGCAAUGGUAUUAUGGUGGAAUGUAUUUAUGAUGUUUAAACUUUAUAAGGUGAUUGUAAGUUGAUGUACUUGUAUAGAACUUACCUUUGUUACCACUGGUAAGAAAUUUAAAACACGUUAAAUAAACCGUAAGGUGUGUAAUUUUAUCAAUGUUAAA